CAGCACCUUAAUUUUAGCCCAGUGAGACUUGUUAUCUAUGUAACUAUAAGAUGAAAAGGUUAUGCCGUUUUAAAGCACUAUGUUUGCAGUAAUUUGUUAAGGCAGCAAUAGAAGACUAAUAUAGAGUUAUAUGUUAAUGGCCACAUUAAACAAAAUAUAUAUCAUGACAAAGGCUUAAGAAACAUCUGGAAUAUUUGGAUGUCUUGGAUGUUAAGAAUCUUGGGUCUGAUCAAUUUUCGUAGAAGCUCUAUUUAUAAGCACAAGAAAUUGGAAACAAGCCAAAUGUCUUUCAGCUGAUGAAUGGACAAACCAAUUGUGGCAUAUCCAUACAAUGGAGUACAAUGCAGCAUCAAAAAGAAACACACCGUAGACACCUGCAACAACUUGGAUUAAUCUCAGAGGGAUUAUGGUGCUGGCCAUGCAGGGACUUGGUCUCUGAAUGAGAUGAAGAGCCAUUAGCCUAUGAGCAGAGGAGCAGCAUAACAGGACUUCCGUUUUCAAGACACCUCUUUGGCUGUGAUGUUAGGAAUGAGGUAGAAACAGGGAGACCAGUUAGAAGGUUGUCACCAUAAUCAAGGUACCAGCAUGGGAGGGGUGAAAAGCAAUCAGCCUCCGGAUAUACUUUAAAGAGAGAAGAAACGGAAGAAUCAUCCAUGGAGUUAAGGUGAAAGCAGCACAAAUAGAGGAAAGUUUUAAAAAAAUUGUUCACUAGGGAGGUAUUUCCUGAAUAGAACUUCCUAACUGCAGCUACAGACCAUGUUAAAAGUGAUUGAUUUGCCUUAGCUACUGGCACAAAAUAUGGAGAGCAUUUCAAAAAGGUUCUUUAUAGUAAAACUUUGUUUUUCCUCUA
rnacentral:lncRNA from 1 species